UGCUAAGAAACAUAAUUUAUACAGUGAAUAUAUGAUAACACAGCUCCAUUGCCAAUAACAAGUUAAGAAGUGUACCUAUGAAAUGUAACCUUCUUUUCUCCCCUUCAGGAAGAGAAUGAUUGAACAAAUUUGGUAAGAUUGGAAGACUGGUGUUGUAAGAAACUCUACUUCUGCAUAAGUUGAUUGUUUUGUUGCAUAAGAUGGUUGAUACUCAAUUUGCACCAAUAUGAACAGCCAUGUCAAGACCAACAUGUUUGUUUUCACCCGAUUCAGAUAUGGACUCUCCGACAUGUUUGUUUCCAACCAAUUCAGGUUUGGACUCUUCGACGUGUUUGUUUCCAUCUGAUUCAGUUUUGGACUCUCCAACAUGUUUGUUUUCACCUGAUUCGGCUUUGGACUCUUUGACAUGUUUGGUUUCACCUGCUUCAGUUUUCGACUCUCUGAUAUGUUUCAUUUCACCUGAUUCAGUUUUGGACUCCACGACAUGUUUCUUUUCACCUGAUUCGGUUCUGGAGUCUUCACGUAUGCCUGCUGUACCGGCAUCAGGUGCUACUGAAAUUUGGCUUAUAGGCCUAGACGUUGGGAAAUCAUGGACAUGCUGUCCUUCAUAUGUUGUAAUGACUAAUUUUGGAUCAUGGGAUGCCCUCUCCACAUGCUUCUUCACAGGGCAACCUGCAACCGAGCAUCGGUAGUAACUCCUCGGAUUUGGAUUGCCUUUGACAAUUUUUUGCCCAUAUUUGCGCCAGCGCUGACCAUCGUUGAUUAUAUCUACUUCGCUCACGGUCUGAACAAUGUGUCGUGGUUCACUAUGGGACUUAACAGGUGGAGUAUCAUCCGUAGCUACUGUGUCCUUUUUUUGUUUUUUUGAGUCUGCACUAUCACCCUUAUCGACUUCAUUUUCUAAUUUAUAUCGCUUCAAAGGCGUAACCUUCACACUAUCACAAGCUGAUACAAUGGCCAACGCUAGAGGGGCUUCUGGUGGCUUACUAGGUUCACAUGUUUCUCGGGGCGUAGAAGAUUUCUCACCUUCAGCUUCUAAUGCAGUGAUAAUUGGAAUGUCUGGCCGUUUCAUUUGCAAAGGGAGUACAUACUCGGGGGACAUCUGGGGAACACUUAGAGUUUCCGGAUGCUCAUGCUUCCCAAUAUAGUGGAUAUCUGUAAUAUGUCCGUCAUGUGAUCUCUCCACUUGCUUUUUUGCUAGACAAUUAGGGAAUGUGCACUUG
rnacentral:misc_RNA from 1 species